CACAAAGCCAGGGAAAGGCGGUUAAUAAAUCCGUAAUGACGACCUUCGUGGGCCUGCGACCUCGGCCGGGGGGAAGGGGCAGGAGCGGGCUCUGCUGGGGUUGCUGCAGCUCUUUCUGGAGUUGGAAGCCUGGGAGACCUGCUCUGCCGAACGUGGUCCAAAUCCUCGUGGAGACAGGCACGCCCGAUCCUGCUCCCAGGAGCUGGGACACCGCCGGCACCGGCCUGCUUAGGACUGUUCAGCAUCUCCUCAUGCCAUUGCCCGACCCGCUAAUCAGCUCGAGGAGAAAGGAGAGAGGAAAUGCCGUCCUUUGACAAGAUGUGGGAAACCACCUCGGUUUGUACUUGGUGUGGCUGUGACCAGCAAACAAAGAACCCU